GUACACGCUGUGACUAGCAUAUCAAUAAGCGGAGGAAAAGAAACUAACAAGGAUUCCCCUAGUAACGGCGAGUGAAGCGGGAAGAGCUCAAAUUUGAAAUCUUAAAGGGUUUCCCUUUACGAAUUGUAGUUUAAAGAAGUGUUUUCUGUUGAGGUUUUGGUAAAAGUUCUUUGGAAUAGGACAUCAUAGAGGGUGAGAAUCCCGUAUUUGACCUUUACUUUCAACUUUGUGAUACACUUUCAAAGAGUCGGAUUGUUUGGGAAUGCAGUCCAAAAUGGGUGGUAAAUUUCAUCUAAAGCUAAAUAUUGGCGAGAGACCGAUAGCGAACAAGUACCGUGAGGGAAAGAUGAAAAGAACUUUGAAAAGAGAGUUAAACAGUACGUGAAAUUGUCAAAAGGGAAGCGUUUGACACCAGUGUUGUUUUUCUGAAAAUCAAUUAAAGAACUGUUUAUGCUAAGUUGUUUAGACUUUAUCAGCUAACUGUUUAGUUUUGAGCUUUUCUUUAAUGCACUUUUCAGUCAACAAGUCAACAUCAAUUUCUUUUGCUGUAAAAAAGCUUGAGGAAGGUGGCUUGAGAUUCGUCUUAAGUGUUUAUAGCCUCUUGCCUAUGCAGUCGGAGAGAUUGAGGUCUGCAGCGUAGAUCCUUCGGGGCUAAAUGCAUUUGUGCUAAGUUAUAGCAUUUUAUAGACAACUUGUUGACUAUGAUUUGUCUUGUAGCUUACUCGCUUAUGUUGUUUUACCUACGCUUAGGAUGUUGAGUCGUAGAGCACGCAG
rnacentral:rRNA from 1 species